rnacentral:rRNA from 1 species
CCUACGGGAGGCAGCAGUGGGGAAUAUUGCACAAUGGGGGAAACCCUGAUGCAGCGACGCCGCGUGAGUGAAGAAGUAAUUCGGUAUGUAAAGCUCUAUCAGGAGGGAAGAAAAUGACGGUACCUGAGUAAGAAGCGCCGGCUAACUACGUGCCAGCAGACGCGGUGAUACGUAGGGGGCAAGCGUUAUGCGGAUUUACUGGGUGUAAAGGGCGCGUAGACGGGAGUGCAAGUCUGGAGUGAAAGGCGGGGGCUCAACCCCCGGACUGCUCUGGAAACUGUGCGGCUGGAGUGCCGGAGAGGUCAGCGGAAUUCCUAGUGUAGCGGUGAAAUGCGUAGAUAUAAGGAGGAACACCAGUGGCGAAGGCGGAUUACUGGACUGUAACUGACGGUGAGGCUCGAAAGCGUGGGGAGCAAACAGGAUUAGAUACCCUAGUAGUC